GUUAAACGCAAAGGUAACGCGGCACACGCACGAGCAAGCAGCAGGUUUUUGUGUGUGUGUCUGUUUUUUUUUUUACUGUAAGCGCUCGGAGUUUCCCGCGAAUGCAAGAGGAACCCGGCGUCUCGAGCAGAAUGAAUGGUUAUCAAGCCACCAGAAACCGCGUUAGAGCGAAGGAAGCUGUUAAAAGAUGCAGCGCCGGGAGUCUUUUAAAGCCUGGUUCUUCUGGAGACUUGGCGGAGCUCAACCUCGGAAGUCAGAGCGCUAUGGGCCGAAGACGACCGAUAAAGGUCCAGACAUGAAGGAGACAGCGUCUUGUCUGUGGCAUCUCACAAUGAGAAGAGCUUUCAGCGUGUCGUGAGUUUCCAAAGUUGGUUCAGGAGAUACACUGGAUUAGGUGGGAUGCCAAAUCACUCCUGGCGACUGGUGAGAUGAGUUUAAAUGUUCAGAUCAUAGUUCACCUUAAAAUGACACUUCUGUCAUCAUUCAAGUUGUUCCAACCUUGUAUGAGUUUUUCUUUCUUCUGUUGAACACAAAUGAAGAUAUUUCAAAGAGUGUUGGUGACCAAAUGUUUUCUAGUCUCCAUUGACUUUCAUGGUAUGGAGAACAAAAAUACUAUGGAAGUCAAAGACCACCAGUAACUGUUUUGGUACCAACAAAUUAAUUAAUGUUUGGAACAAUAUAUGGAUGAAUAAAAGUUGACAGAAGUUUCAUUUUUAUUCCUUUAAAGGUGCUUUCAUUACAUUUUCCCCUUUAAACAAACAGAAAUACUUCAAAAUAAAUAGUACUAGUGAUUUUAAAAGUCAUAUCAGUAGCCCGAUAAAAGAUGUUUUAUUUUACACAAGAGUGGGUUGUCUUAUGAAGGCCAUCAUUUUAAGAUGUUAUCGAGGUGAAAACUAUUAAUUUGAAUUAUCAUAUUAUUGUAAACUUUUGCUUGCUGAAUAUAUCAAUCACAGUGUGAAAAUUUGCCUUUCUACAAUCUAACUGAAUGCUUUGCAUCCACACCAUCUAGAUGUCAGUAUGUCAUGUUCUAAAUUGUAACCAGCAUGAACCAAAAAUUUACUGAACACACCUUCAAAGUAUUAGAUUUUCCCUCAUCUUUUGAAUAGACUUUUAAGAUAAUAGUUCUUAUAAUGGAUCGUUUUCAUUAUUUAUUGAAUAAUAACAUCAGUUCUCUUUGUUGUUUCCUUUUCUUGCUUUCUCUGUCUGUCUGUUUUGCCUUCAUUUGUAUUAAGGCCAGAUGUGCGAUCUAAGACUUGUGGAUACUAAAUACCAAAUUUUUCAUUGGCAAGACUGUUUGAUUAACCAGUCUUAAUCUUAAAUCACCAGUGACGUUUUGUAUGUUCAUUGUGUUUUAAUCACUUGUAUAUUCAUUUAGCAACAACAUUUUUAUUGUAUUGUAUUCAUCUGGAAGUAAUGUGGGGCAGGACUUGAUUUAAUAUCAAUGAACUGUUGAAUGUUAUUGGUCGAUAUUUCGGCCCCGCCCAUAUGGCAUUGGUUACAUCACCCAAAAAAGCAAAACGCUUCAGCUAACUGUAACAUAUCAACUGAAGAUUAUGAAAAUGGCAUCCAUUUUCAAUAUAAAAUGGAUAUGAAAACAAAAUUUGGAUUUUUUUAUUUUAUUUUUGGAGCUAAUAAAUAAGACACAAUAACACAAAGGGCAUUCACACAGAAAAAUAAAUACAGUCCAUUUUGAUUUCAGGUUGUGUUUAAAGGCCUGUAAAUGUUUAAAUAUCAAAAGGUCACAUAAGUUUGAGAGCACAAUUCAUUGCGUUGUAUUUUGGGAGUAGGUGACCUGUGCUAUGCUCUUCCAGCAUAGAAAGGUGGGAUGCACCCGCCCGCUGCUUGCCUUUCUCCAAGCCGACCUCUGCGCAGACUGUCAAGUCGACUCACCAUCAGGCCACCAUUUGCCUCAGUGAACAUUCAACGCUGUCGGUGAGUUUGAGCUAAAUAGAAAAAAACCAUCGACCGUUGACUGUACCCUGCGGCUGAGCCCUGCCGAGCCUUGUCUCUCCCCACCGCCGGCAAAGACGAAUUUCAGCAUGGACUCCUGGAGACACAGCGAUUUUGUCUUCCAACGCUACCGGCAGCCGCCACUGAAAAGUUCGACUUUGAAAACCACAACAAAGGUCACAAUCAACAUUCAUUGCUGUCGGUGGGUUGGACUGUUAAAGAAAGCUCACUGAACAAUGAAUGCAACUGUGUCCCAGAUUUCCUUCUCGCAAAGUGGCAUCGGAGAUUAAUAUUAACUGACAGGGCUGGAUGCACUCAUUUGCUCUUCUCACUUGGGUUUGUUUGUGGCUCUUCGUGGCAAAGACGCAAGUGGACUGAGAACACCAUGUCAAAGGGCCCUUUAAGGCCAAUGAAUGUUUCCUUUGUGUAAUAAAUAAAGACAAGACCUAUCCAAA